GACGGAGGGUGCUAGCGUUGUUCGGAAUCACUGGGCGUAAAGGGCGCGUAGGCGGCCUUGCAAGUCGGUUGGUGAAAGCCCGGGGCUCAACCCCGGAGGUGCGGCCGAGACUGCAGGGCUGGAGGCCGGAAGAGGAGGGUGGAAUACCCAGUGUAGAGGUGAAAUUCGUAGAUAUUGGGUGGAACACCGGUGGCGAAAGCGGCUCUCUGGUCCGGACCUGACGCUGAGGCGCGAAAGCCAGGGGAGCAAACGGG
rnacentral:rRNA from 1 species